rnacentral:lncRNA from 1 species
AAAUCUGUCUGAUUCUAUUUAUGCUAUGUUAUUUUCCGAAGGUGACACCUGGCCUCUUUGGGAUUCUGCCAUGUUGUGGGCAUCGUUAGGGUUAUCGCUUCUCUGACUGCUGGUUGAUUCAUCAUUUAUUGAUCUUUCCAUUGUAUUAUGAGCUGAUUCUGGCAUUAACAAUUCCUUGAAUCAGUGGUCGCUUCUUUCUUCUUGGAGCAAUCAUUUUUUCUGAGGAUGUUGUCUAAGGACAAUGAAUACAAUGCAACUGGUCAGUCGGUUACCUUGAAUACAACGUUUGGUUUUUCGGAGGACUAAUGAUCUAUCUUGCACUGUUUGUGGUUGAGCUGAUGAUCUAUAGAAGCUUUUGUCUUCAGGACAAACGAUGUACUGAAAUUUUGACCACCUUCUAGGCUUCUU